rnacentral:rRNA from 1 species
UACGUAGGGCGCAAGCGUUGUCCGGAAUUAUUGGGCGUAAAGAGCUCGUAGGCGGUUUGUAGCGUCUGUCGUGAAAGCCCACAGCUUAACUGUGGGUCUGCGGUGGAUACGGGCAGACUAGAGGCAGGUAGGGGAGAACGGAAUUCCAGGUGUAGCGGUGAAAUGCGUAGAUAUCUGGAGGAACACCGGUGGCGAAGGCGGCAUCCUGGACCGGCAUUGACGCUGAGGAGCGAAAGCCAGGGGAGCAAACGGG